CAGAGGGGGCAAGCGUUGUUCGGAAUUACUGGGCGUAAAGGGCGCGUAGGCGGCCUGCUAAGUCGAACGUGAAAUCCCUGGGCUCAACCCAGGAACUGCGUCCGAUACUGGUUGGCUUGAAUUCGGGAGAGGGAUGUGGAAUUCCAGGUGUAGCGGUGAAAUGCGUAGAUAUCUGGAGGAACACCGGUGGCGAAGGCGGCAUCCUGGACCGAUGUUGACGCUGAUGCGCGAAAGCCAGGGGAGCAAACGGGAUUAGAUACCCCGGUAGUCCUGGCCCUAAACGAUGAAUGCUUGGCGUGGCGGGUAUCGAUCCCUGCCGUGCCGAAGCUAACGCAUUAAGCAUUCCGCCUGGGGAGUACGGUCGCAAGGCUG
rnacentral:rRNA from 1 species